rnacentral:rRNA from 1 species
AUGGCCGGGUUCCUCCAGCAGCUUGGGUUUCAUACAACCCGCUCCGACGCGUCGCUGUUCGUCUAUCAUCAGGGCACUGCUACUGCAUAUCUGCUGCUCUAUGUGGACGACAUUAUCCUAACGGCAUCCUCGCCUGGGCUUCUUCAGCAGCUCACGGCUCGUCUUCGCGCUGAGUUUGCCCUCAAGGAUCUUGGAGCGCUGCACUACUUCCUUGGCAUUGAGGUCGUUCGUCGUGCCGACGGGUUCUUUCUGCAUCAGCAGAAGUACGCUCAUGAGCUUCUCGAGCGUGUGGGCAUGAUUAAUUGCAAGACCGCGUCCACGCCUGUUGACACCAAGGCAAAGGUUUCUGCUUUGGAGGGUUCUCCUGCGCCAAAUGCGGCGUUCUAUCGCUCCAUCAUCGGCGCCCUACAGUAUCUCACCCUCACUCGGCCUGACUUGCACUAUGCAGUUCAGCAGGUGUGCCUCCAUAUGCACUCCCCGCGUGAUUCCCAUUGGACUCUGGUGAAGCGUAUUCUUCAGUAUAUACGCGGCACUAUGACCAUGGGCCUCACCCUGACGGCUUCCUCCUCCAUCGACAUGGUCGCCUACUCCGAUGCUGAUUGGGCUGGUUGCCCAGACACGUGUCGUUCUACGUCAGGCUAUUGUGUCUACCUCGGGCCUUCGCUGAUAUCGUGGUCGUCCAAGCGGCAGCCCACGGUCUCUCGCUCGAGCGCCGAGGCAGAGUAUCGGGCAGUGGCUAACGCCGUUGCUGAGUGCUCUUGGCUCCGUCACCUUCUCCGGGAGUUGCUUUGUGUGGUUCCCAAGGCCACGAUCGUCUACUAUGACAACGUUUCUGCUGUCUACCUCUCCGCCAACCCCUUCCACCAUCGCUGUACGAAGCACAUUGAGCUCGACAUUCACUUCGUUCGCGAGCAGGUGGCUCUUGGGAAGGUUCGUGUUCUGCACGUUCCUACCACUCAGCAGUUUGCCGACGUCAUGACUAAGGGACUGUUGGGGAACGUAGUAAUUUCAAAAAAAUUCCUACGCACAUGCAAGAUCAUGGUGAUGCAUAGCAACGAGAGGGGAGAGUGUUGUCUACGUACCCUCAUAGACCGAAGCGGAAGCAUUGACGCAACGUAG